rnacentral:lncRNA from 1 species
UGGUCUCAAACUCCCGACCUCAGGUGAUCCGCCCGCCACGGCCUCCCAAAGUGCUGGGAUUACACACAUGAGCCAACACGCCCGGCCGAAGGUCAGCUUUUUCAGGAAACACAACCUAUUUGUGGGAGUUUCUUUUAGAUCUACUUCAAGAUAAAAAUACUUGUCCCAGGUAUAUUAAAUGGACUCAGAGAGAAAAAGGCAUAUUCAAGCUGGUGGAUUCAAAGGC